UCUAUCACCAUCCCCUUUACUACAGCUGGCCUAUCAUGUCCUGCCUGAUCUUUUUGAUCACGCCCACCACACCAAUGCCCGCCUUCCUGCUUCCCUAUAAAAACGUCCUGCCGCCCAGCAAUGUCAGACACUGCUGGACGGCAGUGGUACCAGCGGCACGUCCUUGGGCCAUACUGAGUGCCUAUUCCAUGCUGGAGCUCUGCUAGCUCUCUACUGACACCUUUGGCCAAAUAAAAUAUUGACACACUUCUGCAAACCUCAGGUUUUUUAUAUUAUUACA